UACGAAGGGGGCUAGCGUUGCUCGGAAUCACUGGGCUUAAAGGGCGCGUAGGCGGGCGGCCAAGUCAGGGGUGAAAGCCCCCAGCUCAACUGGGGAAGUGCCUCUGAUACUGGUCAUCUUGAGGGAGGUAGGGGCGUGCGGAACUUCCGGUGGAGCGGUGAAAUGCGUAGAUAUCGGAAGGAACACCGGUGGCGAAAGCGGCGCGCUGGACCUCUUCUGACGCUGAGGCGCGAAAGCCAGGGGAGCAAACGGG
rnacentral:rRNA from 1 species